rnacentral:rRNA from 1 species
UACGAGGGGUGCAAGCGUUGUUCGGAAUUACUGGGCGUAAAGCGUGCGUAGGUGGUUUGUUAGUCUGAUGUGAAAGCCCUGGGCUCAACCUGGGAAUCUCAUUGGAUACUGGCAAGCUAGAGUGCGGUAGAGGAUGGCGGAAUUCCCGGUGUAGCAGUGAAAUGCGUAGAGAUCGGGAGGAACAUCUGUGGCGAAGGCGGCCAUCUGGACCAGCACUGACACUGAGGCACGAAAGCGUGGGGAGCAAACAGGG